rnacentral:rRNA from 1 species
GACGAACGCUGGCGGCGUGCUUAACACAUGCAAGUCGAACGGAAAGGCCUGUCCUUCCUUGUGUUGGACGGGUACUCGAGUGGCGAACGGGUGAGUAACACGUGAGUGAUCUGCCCCCAACCUGGGUAUAAGCCUGGGAAACUGGGUCUAAUUCCCGAUAGGACUGCAGGGUGGCGCCUGUGGUGGAAAACGAUUUUCUAGUGGUUGGGGAUGAGCUCGCGGCCUAUCAGCUUGUUGGUGGGGUAAUGGCCUACCAAGGCGGCGACGGGUAGCCGGCCUGAGAGGGUGGACGGCCACAUUGGGACUGAGAUACGGCCCAGACUCCUACGGGAGGCAGCAGUGGGGAAUAUUGCACAAUGGGCGGAAGCCUGAUGCAGCGACGCCGCGUGGGGGAUGACGGCCUUCGGGUUGUAAACUCCUUUCGACCGCGAGGAAGCCGCCUGGUUGGAAGGGUGGUGACGGUAGUGGUAGAAGAAGCACCGGCUAACUACGUG